AGUGACAGAGUGAGGGGAUGACUGGUGACAGAGUGAGGGGAUGACUGGUGACAGAGUGAGGGAGUGACUAGUGACAGAGGGAGUUAGUGACUAGUGACAGAGUGAGGGAGGGCGUGACUGUCACUAGUCACCCCAUCCCUCUCUCUGUCACUAGUCACUCCCUCCCUAACUCUGUCACUGUGUCACCCGCUCCCUCACUCUGUCACUAGUCACCCCCUCACUCACUCUGUCACUAAUCACCCCCUCUGUGCCUAGUCACCCCCUUCCUCACUCUGUCAAUAGUCACCCCAUCCCUCUCUCUG